UGCCUGUGGAAAAUCAACAGCACCAGGCACCACAGCCCCUACGGACAUGAAAGAGACAGACUGAGUGGACCUGUGUUGGGAUAUUCCUUCCACCCGACCCGCGGAUGGUGUCGAGGAGUUAAGGUUCAGAAAUAUCAGAAGUUGGCUUUGUUUUAGCGCACAUUUCUGCUGAAGAGCCUACAUGCCAUCUAAAAAGCUGAAGUUGAAC